CACGUAGGGUGCGAGCGUUGUCCGGAAUUAUUGGGCGUAAAGAGCUCGUAGGCGGUGUGUCGCGUCGGCCGUGAAAACCUGCAGCUUAACCCUGAGCUUGCGGUCGAUACGGGCAUGACUGGAGUUCGGCAGGGGAGACUGGAAUUCCUGGUGUAGCGGUGAAAUGCGCAGAUAUCAGGAGGAACACCGGUGGCGAAGGCGGGGUCUCUGGGCCGAUACUGACGCUGAGGAGCGAAAGCGUGGGGAGCGAACAGG
rnacentral:rRNA from 1 species